rnacentral:snRNA from 1 species
CAUAGGAGUGCACUAUAUUUAUU